rnacentral:lncRNA from 1 species
UGCACUGUGCUGCCAUCUUGGAUUAUGACGUCAUCAAGUUUGGGUUGGUAAGGGUCGUCCGACUUUUCAAGUGGGGGGCGUUCCAGAUAAAUUACCGACUCGGAGCUCAGAAAUCCCAACUUCGGAGUAAAACUGGAACGCAGCAUGAGUCUCUAAGUUACUAAGUCAGGGGCGCUCUUCCUUCCAUGUCUGGUAAUCAGAUUCAGUACAGUCUACAGAACUGUUCUUCCCAUCACUGCAGACAUCAGGCUUUUUCCAGCUCAACUCAACUCUGAUUGGUUGUUUGAUUUCGACCAAUCAAAAAACAGAUAAAUGCAUAAGGGUGGAAACUCACUUAACUGGACUUAUAAUGAAUAACUUCGCCCUACUGUCGCCCCUAUAGCGAAAUUUGAAUAGACUUUGCAAUUAAUUCACCCACAAAAUAUUACAGCUGUAAUAACAUCCAAGUAGGUGGGAAAUAAAUCCAAUUAAUUCACUGAGUCUACAAAUAGAACAAGAUUAUGCCCGUCAGCAUCUUUUUACCCCAUCAGUCAGCUGACUGGACUGCUAAAUCAAGAGCUGAAAGGAAGUUUUAUAACAUCAAAUCACAUAUUUUAAAAAACAGUGUUUACAUUUCCUCUCAAUGUCAUAUUGUAAGUUCGUAUAUUAUCUGCUGUCGGUCUUGACAUGUCGAAAGAAUCACUCGCUGUGGGACAAAACCAACACCUCUCCGGGGACUCCACUGGAUCCUGUGAUAGAUCGAGUCCCCUGAGGCUGAAUCCUUAUCUCUGUCACGAGGGUUCAAUAACAAACCAUCGCUUUAGGCGGCGUGUCAUUCAUCCUCGCUGUUCCUGUUUAUUCCCCCAUCAGUCUUCACCUCUCAUAGUCAAAAAGUGGCAAAAAUAUAUUAAAGGAAAUCCAGACCAGUUUACAAAAUAGAGGGAUGACAGAGUGAAACAGUAACUUUUAGAGCUCCCCCUACUGACUGGCUGCGAUAAAGGUCAUAGAUUCUGUUUAUUUAGUUUUCUUCUGGUUUUAUGUAAGUGCAUUUUGUGUGUUUUUUCUAGUGUUCCUGUCGUCCAGUCUUGUGAGUUUUCAAAAGACUGUUUGACUGUUUCCCUCCUGUUCUCUCUGUUUUAUUCUUUAGAUCAGUUUUCAAUGUUUAUUUCCUGUUUUAUUUUGUAGGAGUUGAUUCCUUUUGUUUCUAAUCUGGUUUUACUUCCAUAGUUUUCUCUCCUUUCUUGAUCACCCAUGAGUCUCACCUGUGUCUCGUCUGCCUCACCUGUUGCCUGUUUCCUAGUGUUUAUAUAGUUCCUGUCUUACCCUCUGUCUUUGUUGGUUCAUUGUGUGUCUGUGUAUGUUAAUGUCAGCGUAUGCUUGUGUCUCCUUGUGGUUUUUUUUCCCAGUUUAUUUGAACAUUUUGAGAGAAUAUUUUAGUUGGACUUUUACUUUUCGCUUUAAUAAAUCCUUCGUUCUGCAUUUUUGGGUUCUUUGUUUAACUCUGCACCUGUGACAGUUAUGAGUGAUCAUUGGUUAACUCUGAGUAUUGUAGUGAGUUUAAGGAGAAUGAGUUGUGUAACUGUCAGCGAAAUUAAGUAAAUGAGGAGUCAUUGUCACAACAUCUCCUUAUAUUUGACUUUUGUCAUUCUGAGGAAACAUCAGCAAGAUCUCUGAGAUAAUUAACAUCAAUUUUUAAAUAAACUAAUGUAACUUACAGUGAUUUAACUUUCUUAAACUGACAGCUCUUAAAACAUAAAGAGUGAACACACCGAUGUUAACCUUUAUUUUCUGUCGUCACCUGUCACAGUCUUAUUUUACUCAUUUAUGUUUUUCAGUUUUUGGACAAAAUUCAGAUUCACGCUCCAGUUAAGCAGGAUAAAUGCUCAUUUAUGCUCAAUGUUACAUACGGCGCUCUCUGUCCGUGCUUUGUGUUCUUUUUGUCCAUAUUUCUGCACGUAUCCUUGAAGUUUUCGGAUACAGGCCAGAUGGAGCAGUAGCACUGGAAACCGUGGGGGCAGUGUCGCUACUGUCACUACCCGAUACGCAUCUCUAGAGAAAACAAAGAAGACAAUGGCGGGGUUUUUUGAGGAUCGCCGUCAGUUUUUCUCUCAUCAGUGCUACUAGAGAAAAGAAUUCUUCGUCCUCCAACCGUGAGGAAUUUAGAGGCCUGACCGACCGCCGCCUCCUCCAACACUGCCUCCGUUUCUGUCUCCUAUGCAAAAUACACAUCAUCACUCGCUCCUCCACAGUCGCCAUGUUUCUUUUGUUUGUUAUUGUCAGAAACUUUUGACUCCAGCCUGCCCCUGGUGGAUGUAACAAUUAACAUCCAUGCCAACGUAAAGAACGCAUGGAAGUAUUUGGGCAGUGAGGGAAUCAUCAUUUGAAACGGACGUGUACAUUUCAUACGUAUGGCGAGCAUAAAUGAGCCUUUAGUCUGAUCCUCCAUUGAUCAAAAACUUCAAUCAAUACAAAUUAAUCUGCAUAAAUAAAACAACAACAACCGAUCUCCCUCUGUCCUCUCUGUUCUCCACAGUACUUAACAAAAUGCAUGUGAUUACUCCUAGUUUGUCCCUUCUGAGCUACUGUAGAAAACAUGGCAGCCUUCAGAGUGAGGACCUGCUACUUCAUAAACACAAAAAAUGUUUUCUAAGUCAUCUUAAAAGGAACUAUUGUUAUAUUCAAUUUAAUGUGAAGUAAUAGAAACAUUUCUCCACAUAAAAUUUCACUAAAUUCUUCUCAAUGCACCUUUAAAUUACAGUAUUUCCCUUUUUUGUGUUUCCAUCUCUGAGUGAAUUUUGGAGUUUGAAUAAAAAAGAAGUAACUUGGUUGAACUAAAUCAGACUGCAGCCUGACAUAAAUCCUGCCUCCUCCUCCUCCUCGCCGUCCCCGGUGGAAAUCAGGCUCUUGAUUAUAGCUGUCAGAGAUUCUUAAUGUCUCAAAGGGGGCCGAUGUGAGGCUGGUUGCAUUUACUGUAUGAUCAGUAUAAUAAGACAUGAGUGCAGCCAGAAAAAGGAGACCAAAAAAAAAAAAGAGUCUCUUUUCUGUCAUCCACUGAUUCCACUUCCCCUCCUGUCACUAAAAAACCACCAAACAGCAGCGGCAGCAGCAGCAGCAGCCCUCUCCUCUCCCCUCUCUUUCUCUCUCUGCUUUUAUCAGCGACUAAAAGCAUCUCCGAUUUCAAAGCGUGAUAUGAAUCCCACAUUUCAGGGAAGAUCUCUUCCUCUCUGCCCCACAUCUGUUCCCGGCUCUUCCUCUUUUAACUGCACGCUGCCCUUGGAU